GUAUUAUUUGUUGUUAAAUAAUUGUAUAUUUACAUAAAGACUUACAUUAUUCCUAUUCAGUUCAGUGGGAAACAAAAGAGAAGUACAAGGGGAAGCACUCUUUAUAAACAGUUAACAAUAGCACAUCAAAAUAUAUCUCUAAUCAACAAACAAAUGUGUUAAUGGUUUUUAAUGGACGGCAAAUUGAUUAAGUAUCAGUAUAUUGAGUAAACAUGGCUUUGUAAAUGCAUAGGGGUUACCAUUCUAGUUCUUGUAUUUGGUUAAAAUUCCAUAAAAAGAAGAAGGGCUUCUUUGAAUAUUUUUAAUCUGGGACGGACAUGAUUCUAAUAUUAAAUCAUUAUCAGCUGAUACAAAUUGCCAACCCAUACUAUUUCCCUCAGUGAAGACAACCUUAUAAUUAGAUUCAAACCAUACUUAGAUAAAUUAUUGGUGUAUCAUUAAUUACCUCCCCUGUUUAAAUAUUGAACAUUAAAACAUAAUGUCCAACAAAAAAGUCAGAUAAUGAAAAAAAAAAAACCAUUUGAACAUGUGACUCUUUCUGAAAGAAUCUUAUUACUUUGAUUAUACAAAAUAAUAAUAAUAUAUAAAUAUAACUGUAAAUACAGAGUAGUAAAUUAAUAGUUUUAAAAUAUUGUAUACUGAUGUUAUAUUGUUAAAUUGAACACAUGUACUUUGACUAUUAUUUUCUUUCUUUGGCAGACCAAUAAAUAUAAAACAUGUAUGGUUUUCUUUCUUCGGGGUUCAAAUAAUAUAUAUAGAGUAAAAGGUAACCUGGAAGAAUUACCAUACUUCUAAUACCUGUCAAAUACAAACUAUGAUUAAUUUGGAUCCU
rnacentral:lncRNA from 1 species